GAUGAACGCUGGCGGCGUGCCUAAUACAUGCAAGUCGAGCGAACAGACGAGGAGUUUGCUCCUCUGACGUUAGCGGCGGACGGGUGAGUAACACGUGGAUAACCUACCUAUAAGACUGGGAUAACUUCGGGAAACCGGAGCUAAUACCGGAUAAUAUAUUGAACCGCAUGGUUCAAUAGUGAAAGACGGUUUUGCUGUCACUUAUAGAUGGAUCCGCGCCGCAUUAGCUAGUCGGUAAGGUAACGGCUUACCAAGGCAACGAUGCGUAGCCGACCUGAGAGGGUGAUCGGCCACACUGGAACUGAGACACGGUCCAGACUCCUACGGGAGGCAGCAGUAGGGAAUCUUCCGCAAUGGGCGAAAGCCUGACGGAGCAACGCCGCGUGAGUGAUGAAGGUCUUCGGAUCGUAAAACUCUGUUAUUAGGGAAGAACAAAUGUGUAAGUAACUAUGCACGUCUUGACGGUACCUAAUCAGAAAGCCACGGCUAACUACGUG
rnacentral:rRNA from 1 species